UCAUCAACGUUUCUGACCUUUCCAUGUGAACUUGCUCAUUAGAUUCAAGUAAUGAUAGAGUAUUUUGACAUGAAGCUUGAGAUGUACUUGGUCUUGAGUAUGAUGUUUCAU